AACGAACGCUGGCGGCAUGCCUAACACAUGCAAGUCGAACGAGACCUUCGGGUCUAGUGGCGCACGGGUGCGUAACGCGUGGGAACCUGCCCUUAGGUUCGGAAUAACUCCCCGAAAGGGGUGCUAAUACCGGAUAAUGUCUUCGGACCAAAGAUUUAUCGCCUUUGGAUGGGCCCGCGUUGGAUUAGCUAGUUGGUAGGGUAAAAGCCUACCAAGGCGACGAUCCAUAGCUGGGUUGAGAGGAUGAUCAGCCACACUGGGACUGAGACACGGCCCAGAAUCCUACGGGAGGCAGCAGUGGGGAAUAUUGGACAAUGGGCGAAAGCCUGAUCCAGCAAUGCCGCGUGAGUGAUGAAGGCCUUAGGGUUGUAAAGCUCUUUUAACCGGGAUGAUAAUGACAGUACCGGGAGAAUAAGCUCCGGCUAACUCCGUG
rnacentral:rRNA from 1 species